rnacentral:lncRNA from 1 species
CUUCCAAAGAUUAGAGAAAUUGUCCAAUGUUCAAAAAGUGAGCUCCUCUCUCUGAUGAACAAUACCUAAUAACUUAAGCUCCUGGGUAAAGAUUGGGUCAGGUAUGUUAGGUGCUUAUUUAUGGUGAAUUCACAUGGAUCUGGAGCAAUCUACUGGAACAGAUAGAUAGGGAAAAAUGCCAAGCAUGAAAGUUAAUAAAGAAGAAAGAUGAAUGCUCCCUGAUGAUAAAUGCUAGGUUCUAAUAAAUUACAAUGCAGAAAAAUAUAUGAUAGCUCAGCUAGUGUUAAAAUUGAAGACCAACAACUCAAAUAUUUAACACAAAAGUCACUCAAUCAUGUAACCUUCCAGCAACCAUUCAUUAGUUGCAACUAAGCAUAAAAGUGGAAGGAGAAGAGAAUACAACUCAAACACAAACUUCUUAAGGACUCUCAUAACUAAAGUUAUAAGUUCUUCCACCAUCCAAUAAAUUUGCUGUAAACCAUACUACUGAAUAUCUUUUGCCAAAGAGAAUCAUGUUCCAACCACCCUCAUUUCCUUUUUUGUUUACAGACAUAAUCACAGCCAACCAGAAGAUCUCCCAAUUACUCAAGUGAAAUUUUGUAGAAAAUCAUGGAAGAUUAGAAACAUAGUCUAAGCUACCUUCACUUGAAUCGCCAACAACAAGAAAUAGAAGGGAAAAGUAUAGGUCACUUAAAUCAUGGAGGCACAACGCCAGUUUCAUCGCCAAAUGACUGAACCCAGUUUAAAGUUUUUCGUACUAGCAUUGGGCAUGCAUCAUUUCAUAUUGUUUAUAGCAUUAAAAAUGCGUUGGCUUAUUUAUAUUUUUGCAUAGGGCACAACUAUCAAAAAAAGAUAAAGAUCAUAAUGAGCAUAUUAAAGAUAAAAAUCAUAAUAAGCAUAUUAUCUAACCCACGCAAUAUUAUUCUGCUUGUUAAUAUUAUGUAAAACUGAUACUCUUGUGUUUUUGCCCAUUGACUUUCCAACUAGAAGAAUGAAUUAGAAAGGGGGUAAUCAACCUACACAUACAAAUUACAACAUAAGAUACUCUGAUUGCUUAUGUUGUUAAAUCUAUUUGUCCCAAAAAAAGGAAGCAUAAGACCAUCACACAUAUGCUAGAUUUCCUAAUGAAGGUUACAAAUAACAAACAAAUGCAUUCAUUUUUAAGAUCUAGUUUAUAAAAACCCAAGCACAAGUGAAGAAGGAAAAAAAAAAUUGCAAAUGCCUAAGAAUGGAGUGAUUUUCAGUACUUCCAAGAACUACAGCUGUAUAGACAGUAAGUAAGUGAUUUAAAAUGGAAAAAGAAGAUAUGAAGAAAAAGAGAAUAUGCAAUUCAGUUUAUGCUUGUCAAUGGAAAUAAUGCAAGCAUGUUGAAGAUUGAUGGUAUUCGAUAAAACUAUGAAAUUCAUGAAACAGCGGUUCCCAUUCUUUCUCAUUUCAUUGAGUUUUCUUAGAUCAGCGCAAGCGUGAAGUCAAUGACCAUGAUCCCGUAGAUAUUCUGUAAUUUCCUCUUGCUUCUGUAACUUAUUCAGGACUUGAUAUUAGUUAGAUGAAAUAUGUUGUGUUAUGUUAUUUGAUAAAAAUCUCGUAUGCAUCCAGAAUGUUAAUCACUGGAAAACAG